GUACACGCUGUGACUAGCAUAUCAAUAAGCGGAGGAAAAGAAACUAACUAGGAUUCCCUCAGUAACGGCGAGUGAAGCGGGAAGAGCUCAAAUUUGAAAUCUUCAAGGUUCUACCUUGACGAAUUGUAGUUUAAAGAAGUGUUUUCUGUUGGAGUUUUGGUAAAAGCUCUUUGGAAUAGGACAUCAUAGAGGGUGAGAAUCCCGUAUUUGACCAUUAUUUCCAGCUUUGUGAUACACUUUCAAAGAGUCGGAUUGUUUGGGAAUGCAGUCCAAAAUGGGUGGUAAAUUUCAUCUAAAGCUAAAUAUUGGCGAGAGACCGAUAGCGAACAAGUACCGUGAGGGAAAGAUGAAAAGAACUUUGAAAAGAGAGUUAAACAGUACGUGAAAUUGUCAAAAGGGAAGCGUUUGACACCAGUGUUGUUUUCUCGAAAAUCAAUUAAAAAAGGCAGGAUUUUGUGUUGUAUUGACUUUAUCAGCUUUCUGCACUCUUUUCUUGUCUUUUUUAAUGCACUUUUCGUUUAACAAGUCAACAUCAAGUUUCUUUUGUUGUAAAAGGGUCAUUGGAAGGUGGCUUUCUUUUCGGAGAAAGUGUUUAUAGCCUUUGGCCUCUGCAAUCGGAGAGAUUGAGGUCUGCAGCGUAGAUCCUUCGGGGUUAGAUACAUUUGUGCUAAGUUAUAGCCUUUCAUAGACAACUUGUUGACUAUGAUCAGUCAUGUAGCUUACUCGCUUAUGCUAUUUUACCUACGCUUAGGAUGUUGAAGACUCUACAGAGAU
rnacentral:rRNA from 1 species